rnacentral:rRNA from 1 species
UAAGGAAUAUUGGUCAAUGGGCGGAAGCCUGAACCAGCCAUGCCGCGUGCAGGAAGACGGCCCUACGGGUUGUAAACUGCUUUUGUACCAGAAUAAACCUUUGUAUGUAUACAAAGCUGAAUGUAUGGUAAGAAUAAGGAUCGGCUAACUCCGUGCCAGCAGCCGCGGUAAUACGGAGGAUCCGAGCGUUAUCCGGAUUUAUUGGGUUUAAAGGGUGCGUAGGCGGCUUGUUAAGUCAGGGGUGAAAGACGGUAGCUCAACUAUCGCAGUGCCCUUGAUACUGAUGAGCUUGAAUGUACUAGAGGUAGGCGGAAUGUGACAAGUAGCGGUGAAAUGCAUAGAUAUGUCACAGAACACCAAUUGCGAAGGCAGCUUACUAUGGUAUGAUUGACGCUGAGGCACGAAAGCGUGGGGAUCAAACAG